ACUGGGGGAAACCAGGACACCAUCCGUAGUCUCAUUAGGAGCAUGCCCCGACGUUGUCAGGCAUGCGUACAAGCACGUGGGGGCCACACAAACUACUGAGAAUCAUUUUGAGUUGCUACAAUGACAUUUUAGCAAAAUGGACCAGUGUGCUGCAUCAUUUUUUCACUUUCAUUUUUGGGGUGUCUUUGAUUUCCCCCCUCUAUAGGGUGAUCAUUUUCAUUUCUAUCAAAUUAUGUGGCAUCAUUUUGUUACUAAUACAUCACCCAAUUAUUAUCAGGAAAGAUAUUCAAGAUCAUUUUUCCCCCAGUUUAGAUCUGAUGUGUUUUCGAAGUGUUCCUUUAAUUUUUUUGAGCAGUAUAUUAUGAAUUACAAUUACAAUCACAAGACACUCAGUUCACGAGACACGGCGAUACAUGAGAUUGGGUCUAUGAGAACGAGAUGAGGUGAGAUUUUAACAUUACUUUUAAGAAAAGUACAAGGAAAAAAUCUAUGACAAUGUAUUGCAAUUUACUAAUUUAAUUUCUAUUACAUUACACUCUUCUGCACUUUGUGUAUAUGCCACCGGCACCGCCUGACAAAAGGGCCCACUCCGUUCAUGCCGUUGUUCUGUGGAACAAAUGCACCAAGGUGCUGAAACCAAUUCAUAGGCAGGUUCCUGCCUGUUUUGAGGUGGUAGACAAAGAAAACAGACAAGCAUGCAGAUGGUAAUAUACGGAAGACAGCAAAAUUAUCCAGUUCAUUUUAAUGUACGGUAUUGUGUGAUUCUUUUUUUUUUUUGUCCCAGGCCUGGUGCUCACGAGACAUUUUUUUUCUGAACAAGAAAUCUUGUCACGUUUUGAUGUUGUGACACCCCUAGUAAUAACUGUUGUUUGCAAGCAACCUUUAAGCAAUGGCAGGAAAUGCUGUGAGGAAACAGACCGCAUCUCCUGCAGCAGUGUAUGGGGGUAAGCUGUUGAAACCUUAACUAGAUUUAAUAAAACUAUAACUUUCAAAGGCAUUAAAUAUAUCUAUUAUAUCUCUAUCUAUAAACAUGUUCUACUUGAUUCGCAGGGAUGUGCAUCCUGGGGAACAAAUAACAAAAAUCCUUUCGUUCUGACUUGCUGAUCGUAGUUUCACUUUGAGUAAGUACAAUUUUGAAAAAAACCCUUGCAGAGUUCAUCUGGAGUCAGUAGGAGCCACAGAACAUGGGCCCCUGGUCUUUUGUGGGCCCCAGGUUUCAGAAACAGCUGGCCUGCAAGCUGCGAUUAGUGAGUCGACCUGCUCUGCCAGCCCCCGCCGUGGGCAUUGGUACCCUCCAUCAUCAGCAGCAAGAGGCCCUCCUCGACGCCACCUUCUCUUAGGACUGAACCAGCUGUGACCUCACUACAGAUACGAUUGGAAAAACCAAGAUGUAACUUCUCUAAAACAUUCAUUUUUUGCUUUAUUACAUUGUACAGUAUUGUGCCACGCUGGUGAUAAUGAAGUCAACAAACACAUUAUUCAAGUCACUGUUCUAAUUUAAAGUAUCGCUCAGCCAAAUCCCUGCUAUAUACACUAUUUAUAUAAGAAUCAGAGUAAUUAACGGGAAAUAAACUCCCAAGGGGAAUUUGAUGCAAAGCAUCAUGAAGGAUGUCAAUGAAUAAGUUUCUAAGCUCUACAGAAUUGUUACCACUGAGUGUAUAGAAUCUUUUGCCAUGUUAUGUAACGUUUAACGUGUCUCGAUCUGGUCAAGAGGUACUGUAGGUACUUGAUUAUUUCCAUUAUUUAAACGUCCUCUGGAUACACACGGUGCUAAAGGCUAAUACGAAUAAACACAAUCAGGAUACUGAUUCUAUUUUAUA